rnacentral:misc_RNA from 1 species
GCAAACUUGGUCAUUUAGAGGAAGUAAAAGUCGUAACAAGGUUUCCGUAGGUGAACCUGCGGAAGGAUCAUUACCGAGUUAGGGUCGCCCCCGCGCGCCCGACCUCCAACCCUUUGUCUACCCGACCUUAUUGUUGCUUCGGCAGGCCCGCCGCCCCCCUCGCGGGGUGGCCGCCGGGGGCUUCGCGCCCCGGGCCCGCGCCUGUCGACGGCCCCAACCACAAACUCUUGUACCUAAACGUGUCGUCUGAGUUAACAAACAAAAUAAAUUAAAACUUUCAACAACGGAUCUCUUGGUUCUGGCAUCGAUGAAGAACGCAGC